rnacentral:lncRNA from 1 species
CUGAAGAGCCAUCAUUUCAGACUAUUAAGAUGCUUUCAGAUCUGUGACGGGCUUCACCAAUUAAUAAAAGCUACUUCUAUACCGAUACUCACCGCCUGCCCCCAGUGCGGUCCGAGCAGGGAAUUCCAUGGUGCACGCCCAUAAGAAGCGCUUUCUGCAUCUCACAGGACAACAGCCGUCUGCGCUCAGACCCCACCAUCUCCCUCAAACACAGUUUCCCAGCAGAGCCGAGGAGAUGACGGCGCGGGCAAACCCUUCCUGUCCAAACAAAGCUCACUACAUCCCUGGCUUGCUCUGCUCUCACCCCAUCCCUCCCUCGAGUCCUGUACACAAGUGAGGGGAGGAAGAACGGAUCAGGAAGCAGCAGGGUACAAAGAGCAGAAGAGAGCUUCGGUCUCAAGUCCACAGGGCACGCUGCGGCCAAGUCCUCCGACGAAAAGUAAAUUAAAGACAAGAGGAACAAAGAAGAAACAGGGAGAGAGGAGGAGCACACACACCGAGCGUCCACUGUGCCCGCCCCUCGCUCCCCCCACACCAUGCGGUCUGUGUGAUCGUCCCACAGAUGAAGACUAGAGGGGCUCGGGAAGCCAGGCCUCAGAGCCCGCAGGCGCCUCCAUGCACCCCUCCACCUCUGCACGCUGGCUGCCCAGCCCCCAGUCCCAGGCGUGGAAGCCUCCCAGGCGGCAAGGAGCUUUCGAGACCGUGGCUGCUCAGCCCUUGCUCUCUGCUCUAGUCAAGGAGCGUGCCUCGGAAUGAAUGAGGUACAGUCUUUCCCUAAAGUCACCGGAGAACAGAGAUCAAUGAAAAAGGAGGAAGGGAGGAAAGACAAAAGACUUGAGAGGAAGCAAAACGAAACCAGCUUAGAUUUGAUCCCGAUACGUGGGAAAUCAGGUGGGGAAAAGGGGCUACAACUCCAUGAUGACCACAAGUCCAGAGGGCUGUGCAAGCCAACACGGCUGGGGGCUGCAGAAAGCACCACAGCAACUGUCUGACGCCAGGUUGGGGCCAGCAGCCGCACGCUGGAAAACGCAACACACAGCCCACACAGCCCUGUGGGGGCAGCUAAGCCCAAAACCCUGGCGUGGCCCAGCAGGAGCAGGCCUGUGCGGAGUGGACCUGCACACACAGCAAACGCACACACCGCGAACGCACACACCGGAUGCUUCCCGCUGUGGAGACCCACAAGGCAAUGUCUUCUGAAGUUAAAAGGAUGCCAGGAUCCAGCAGUCCCACUCCUAAGUAUGUGCUCAAGGAAAAGUAAGAGUUUAGAUCAUACAAAGCCAACAUUUCCAGCAGCUUUACUCCAUUUCACCAAACCCAGAAACAAUACAGAUGUCCUUCAACCAGUGAACGAAUAAACAAGUCCCAGAGCAGCCGUGCCUGGAGCAUCACUCAGCAACGAAAAGCAGCGCUGCGAUUCACACAGCCACGCGGUGAGUCCCAAAUGCACCUCCAUGAGCCAAAGAUGCCAUAUUUGUAUGACGUUCUGGAAAAGGCAAAAUCACCAGACAGAAAGCAUGCUGGGGUGGCCAGGGAGGGGAGUCUGGGGUGGUGGGGCCGCAAGUCAGCCCCAGGCAUGUGAAAAUGCGCAGCUGCACAGCAGAAGGGCAAAUGAGGCUGUAUAGACAGUUUUUUUUAAUCAACCAGAAUGAAAAAGACUCAAAAUGAAACACCAGCUCUAAGCGGUAAACCUAAGGGAACCACAAACAAAGAACACAACACCAGGCAGUGGGAAACACAACGGCACCCACGGUGCUGAGAAAACGCCACUUCCACUGGGAACGGUAGGCCAAGGACAGAACGGCCUGUCCACAGACACUGCACCCUCGCAAGUCAACCUCUCCUCACAGAGCCAUGGAUUAGCAAUUCCAGAAAGACCCUGUGCGCACGUGAGGACUGGAUGGGGGGCCCAGGUCCAUCGGACUGGAGCAGAAAAACCAGAGAAGAAGCCUGAGGAAGAAGCAGGACAGGCCACCAGACCCAACGGGGAGGAAGGCGUCUGGAUGUCCCAGAGUUAGUGAGAGGGCCUUAGCCAAGGAGGCAGGCACAUCACCAAGUACGAGGUGGUCUGCACCCUGCCUCUGCAGGCCUGGGCGGUGCUGCACAAAGUCCCAGGAGAUCCUGAAGUGUGCCCUUGGUAAAGAGGACAGUGGAGACAAAGAAGUAUUUGCAAUGAACAAGUGAAGGCCCACAGCAAACACCCAGCAUGGCACAGCACUGGGCACCACCCGAAGACAAGGAAACCCGACCUUGGGGAGCUCCCAAUGCAGCAGGAGAGGGAUCCAGGCUCUAACGCUGGGAACACAGCCUUUUCUAGAGAUAGGCCUGGCAGAGGCAGCCAGGCAGGCAGCCAAAGCGGGCAGGAAAGACCAGAAGCAGCUAAGAGUCUCCUGCAACAUCCACGUUCCCCAGGCCCCUCCUUCCUGAACAGUCUAGCGGGCCCUGGGGGCCACCGUCAGGGAGGAGCAAGGCUCUGCAGGGAAGCUGCACCCCAUUCCCAAGGGCACCUUCCCAAGCCAAGUCAACCCCUGUGCAAACUAACAGGCAGUCCAGCUCCACAAGCACUGCUGGUGCGGACGGCACAGAGGCUGGGAGAAACCCACAAACAGAGGCCACCCACAUGGUCGUGGUCUCUACAGACAGGCAGCUGCCCAUUCACAAGGAGGAGGCAUGAUAUGAUAUGGUCUGACUGUGUCCCCACCCAAAUCUCAUCUGAAACUGUAGUUUCCAUAAUGCCCACAUGUCAUGGGAGGUGAGUGAAUCACAGGGGCAGUUACCCCCAUACUGCUGCUCACGUGAUAGUGAGCUCUCGAGAGAGGUGACUGUUUUAUAAGGGACUUUUCCCCCUUUUGCUCGGCACUUCUCCUUCCUGUCACCAUGUAAAGAAGGACGUGUUUGCUUCCCCUUCCACUAUGAUUGUCAUUUUCCUGAGGCCUCCCCAGCCAUGAUAAACUGUGA